rnacentral:rRNA from 1 species
AACGAACGCUGGCGGCAUGCCUAACACAUGCAAGUCGAACGAGACCUUCGGGUCUAGUGGCGCACGGGUGCGUAACGCGUGGGAAUCUGCCCUUGGGUUCGGAAUAACAGUUGGAAACGACUGCUAAUACCGGAUGAUGACGUAAGUCCAAAGAUUUAUCGCCCAAGGAUGAGCCCGCGUAGGAUUAGCUAGUUGGUGAGGUAAAGGCUCACCAAGGCGACGAUCCUUAGCUGGUCUGAGAGGAUGAUCAGCCACACUGGGACUGAGACACGGCCCAGACUCCCACGGGAGGGCGGAAGUGGGGAUAUUGGAACAUGGGGGAAAGGCAUAAUCAGCAAUGCCGGGUUAGGGAUGAAGGCCUUGGGGGUGGAAAGUCCCUUUAACCGGGGAUGUUAUGACAGUACCGGGAGAAUAAGCUCCGGCUAACUCCGUG